rnacentral:rRNA from 1 species
UACGUAGGGACCGAGCGUUGUCCGGAAUCAUUGGGCGUAAAGAGCGUGUAGGCGGCCACUUAAGUCCUGCGUGAAAUCUUGCGGCUCAACCGCAAGCGGUCGUGGGAAACUGGGUGGCUAGAGUGCGGGAGAGGAGAGUGGAAUUCCCGGUGUAGCGGUGAAAUGCGCAGAUAUCGGGAAGAACACCCGUGGCUAAGGCGGUUCUCUAGUACGGUACUGACGCUGAGACGCGGAAAGCGUGGGGAGCGAACAGG